UUAUCUAGGUAGUGGCAAGACACAAGCUUCUCAACAACCAACUACUAGUACUUCUCGCAAGUAUCUCAAAAAUUGUUUUUUUAUCUGAAAUAUGUUUUGGAGGUCAGUGUGUGACGAUGUGAAGAACGAAAUAUUAAAUCAGUACCAAAUUAAAAUUCGUAUAUUUGAUGUGAUUAUAUUACAUUAAGGUCUUGAGGUAGAAAUGCUGUUUUGUGUUUUGAUUCUUUAAUGUCUGCCUGUAUGUGGGUACCCACCAUGUUUCCUACAUUAAGCGGACAGGAGCUGGACAUUUAGCACCACAAGGGCAAACAUCUUCAGUUUUUCUACUGACCCAGCAAAGUGAAUUAGACUUUUUAGCAGUUAAUCAAGCGAAAAACUGCAUCAAACAGUUCUAGAGUUGAAAUGACACAAGUUCAAAAAGCAAUUGAGAAGGGAAGUCAAAAACCAGCCUGUACUCUAAGUCAUCCUGAUUUCAAAGGGCAUUUCAAGCACGCUGAUGAACGCCGUCUUAAUCACCUAGCGCUUGUUUGCAAUCUUCUGGUUCUGGUUCUUCUAGAAGCUAAUCUGCAAUGUGACAAGCCUGGAAAAAUUAAGUUUUCCCAACCAAAUUUUGAAUUGUGUUUAUUGUAAUAUCAGUUUCAAAUCAAAAAGAGUUUUUAUUCUAGAAAUUUCCUGUAUUUGUUGUUAACUGCAGAUUUAAUAGUUGACGAUUAACAAGCAACUCAAUUAGGCACUCAUUUUUCAUUCAUCUAAGUUAUUUAAGUUGUUAAGAGAUGUUUGCAAACCUUAAUAAGGGGCUACUAGACUAGACAAUGGCUGCGUUCCGUUAGUGAAAAAAAUGAAUUUUUGAGAAUGUUAGCAUUAUAAUCAGCAAUAAAAUAUCAAUGUUUUCAUUUGAAGAAUCAACUUAUGUGUUGUAUAAUCGUAGCGUUCUGAACUAGAAUAAGAACAGAGAAACUAUUUUGUAAUGUUUCAAUAUUAGUUUGGAUUAACAAAGUAGCAGAAAUUUUAAGGUUCAAUGAUUCUUCUGAUAUUCAAUUGUCAUAAAAAAAUAAACCACUUGAAAAAUGACGCACACU